rnacentral:snoRNA from 1 species
GGCUGGUUUUAAAUUAUGGAUGGUUCCUCAUAGUGUCCCAUCCUAGAGCAAACUGGCUCCUAACCGUUGCCUGGCCUCUGCCUGCAGGCUGUUGGCACUGAAGUGGGUCACACGGGG